GUCAAGUUAGUUUAUUAUAAAACAUCAAUCUGUGGAGUUGAAAAUAAAAUCUUUUUUACUUGAUC
rnacentral:tRNA from 1 species